rnacentral:tRNA from 2 species
GUCGGGAUAGCUCAGCUGGUAAAGCAAAGGACUGAAAAUCCUCGUGUCACCA